GUACCCACCGAGCCCAAUACAUGCAAGUCGAACGAACUCUGGUAUUGAUUGGUGCUUGCAUCAUGAUUUACAUUUGAGUGAGUGGCGAACUGGUGAGUAACACGUGGGAAACCUGCCCAGAAGCGGGGGAUAACACCUGGAAACAGAUGCUAAUACCGCAUAACAACUUGGACCGCAUGGUCCGAGCUUGAAAGAUGGCUUCGGCUAUCACUUUUGGAUGGUCCCGCGGCGUAUUAGCUAGAUGGUGGGGUAACGGCUCACCAUGGCAAUGAUACGUAGCCGACCUGAGAGGGUAAUCGGCCACAUUGGGACUGAGACACGGCCCAAACUCCUACGGGAGGCAGCAGUAGGGAAUCUUCCACAAUGGACGAAAGUCUGAUGGAGCAACGCCGCGUGAGUGAAGAAGGGUUUCGGCUCGUAAAACUCUGUUGUUAAAGAAGAACAUAUCUGAGAGUAACUGUUCAGGUAUUGACGGUAUUUAACCAGAAAGCCACGGCUAACUACGUGCCAGCAGCCGCGGUAAUACGUAGGUGGCAAGCGUUGUCCGGAUUUAUUGGGCGUAAAGCGAGCGCAGGCGGUUUUUUAAGUCUGAUGUGAAAGCCUUCGGCUCAACCGAAGAAGUGCAUCGGAAACUGGGAAACUUGAGUGCAGAAGAGGACAGUGGAACUCCAUGUGUAGCGGUGAAAUGCGUAGAUAUAUCGAAAGAACACCAGUGGCGAAAGCGGCUGUCUGGGUCUGUAACUGACACUGAGGCUU
rnacentral:rRNA from 2 species